GGUGCGAAGGGGCCACUAAAGCUGGCUGGUAGGAGGGAAUGACAAUCAUUUUCGAAGAGAGCCGAAAUUAAGGGACAAAGUGGGGGCGCUCGUUGAGGGGAUGAGGAGACAAAUGGGC
ensembl:ncRNA F18A11.10 ncRNA